UGGGGAAUAUUGGACAAUGGGCGAAAGCCUGAUCCAGCCAUGCCGCGUGUGUGAAGAAGGUCUUCGGAUUGUAAAGCACUUUAAGUUGGGAGGAAGGGCAUUAACCUAAUACGUUAGUGUUUUGACGUUACCGACAGAAUAAGCACCGGCUAACUCUGUGCCAGCAGCCGCGGUAAUACAGAGGGUGCAAGCGUUAAUCGGAAUUACUGGGCGUAAAGCGCGCGUAGGUGGUUUGUUAAGUUGGAUGUAAAAUCCCCGGGCUCAACCUGGGAACUGCAUUCAAAACUGACUGACUAGAGUAUGGUAGAGGGUGGUGGAAUUUCCUGUGUAGCGGUGAAAUGCGUAGAUAUAGGAAGGAACACCAGUGGCGAAGGCGACCACCUGGACUAAUACUGACACUAAGGUGCGAAAGCGUGGGGAGCAAACA
rnacentral:rRNA from 1 species